rnacentral:rRNA from 1 species
GGGUGAGUAAUGUAUCGGAACGUACCUUUCAGUGGGGGAUAACGUAGCGAAAGUUACGCUAAUACCGCAUAUUCUGUGAGCAGGAAAGCAGGGGAUCGCAAGACCUUGCGCUGAUUGAGCGGCCGAUAUCGGAUUAGCUAGUUGGUGAGGUAAAGGCUCACCAAGGCGACGAUCUGUAGCGGGUCUGAGAGGAUGAUCCGCCACACUGGAACUGAGACACGGUCCAGACUCCUACGGGAGGCAGCAGUGGGGAAUUUUGGACAAUGGGGGCAACCCUGAUCCAGCCAUGCCGCGUGAGUGAAGAAGGCCUUCGGGUUGUAAAGCUCUUUCGGCCGGGAAGAAAUCGUAUGGGUUAAUACCCUGUGCGGAUGACGGUACCGGCAUAAGAAGCACCGGCUAACUACGUGCCAGCAGCCGCGGUAAUACGUAGGGUGCGAGCGUUAAUCGGAAUUACUGGGCGUAAAGCGUGCGCAGGCGGUUUUGUAAGACAGGCGUGAAAUCCCCGGGCUCAACCUGGGAACUGCGCUUGUGACUGCAAGGCUAGAGUAUGGCAGAGGGGGGUGGAAUUCCACGUGUAGCAGUGAAAUGCGUAGAGAUGUGGAGGAACACCAAUGGCGAAGGCAGCCCCCUGGGCCAAUACUGACGCUCAUGCACGAAAGCGUGGGUAGCAAACAGGAUUAGAUACCCUGGUAGUCCACGCCCUAAACGAUGUCAACUGGGUGUUGGGUGGGUAAAACCAUUUAGUACCGGAGCUAACGCGUGAAGUUGACCGCCUGGGGAGUACGGCCGCAAGGUUAAAACUCAAAGGAAUUGACGGGGACCCGCACAAGCGGUGGAUGAUGUGGAUUAAUUCGAUGCAACGCGAAAAACCUUACCUACCCUUGACAUGUCCAGGAGCCUGAAGAGAUUUGGGUGUGCCCGAAAGGGAACUGGAACACAGGCGCUGCAUGGCUGUCGUCAGCUCGUGUCGUGAGAUGUUGGGUUAAGUCCCGCAACGAGCGCAACCCUUGUCGUUAAUUGCCAUCAUUUAGUUGGGCACUUUAACGAGACUGCCGGUGACAAACCGGAGGAAGGUGGGGAUGACGUCAAGUCCUCAUGGCCCUUAUGGGUAGGGCUUCACACGUCAUACAAUGGUCGGUACAAAGGGUUGCCAACCCGCGAGGGGGAGCCAAUCCCAGAAAGCCGAUCGUAGUCCGGAUUGCAGGCUGCAACUCGCCUGCAUGAAGUCGGAAUCGCUAGUAAUCGUGGAUCAGCAUGUCACGGUGAAUACGUUCCCGGGUCUUGUACACACCGCCCGUCACACCAUGGGAGCGGGUUCCGCCAGAAGUAGGUAGCCUAACCGCAAGGGGGGCGCUUACCACGGCGGGGUUCGUGACUGGGGUGAAGUCGUAACAAGGUA